rnacentral:rRNA from 1 species
GACGAACGCUGGCGGCGUGCCUAAUACAUGCAAGUAGGACGCUGAAGGAGGAGCUUGCUUCUCCGGAUGAGUUGCGAACGGGUGAGUAACGCGUAGGUAACCUGCCUGGUAGCGGGGGAUAACUAUUGGAAACGAUAGCUAAUACCGCAUAAGAGUAGAUGUCGCAUGACAUUUGCUUAAAAGGUGCAACUGCACCACUACCAGAUGGACCUGCGUUGUAUUAGCUAGUUGGUGAGGUAACGGCUCACCAAGGCAACGAUACAUAGCCGACCUGAGAGGGGGAUCGGCCACACUGGGACGGAGACACGGCCCAGACUCCUACGGGAGGCAGCAGUAGGGAAUCUUCGGCAAUGGACGGAAGUCUGACCGAGCAACGCCGCGUGAGUGAAGAAGGUUUUCGGAUCGUAAAGCUCUGUUGUAAGAGAAGAACGAGUGUGAGAGUGGAAAGUUCACACUGUGACGGUAUCUUACCAGAAAGGGACGGCUAACUACGUG